rnacentral:rRNA from 1 species
CACUCCUACGGGAGGCAGCAGUGGGGAAUAUUGCACAAUGGGCGCAAGCCUGAUGCAGCCAGUGCCGCGUGUAUGAAGAAGGCCUUCGGGUUGUAAAGUACUUUCAGCAGUGAGGAAGGUGGGUAUGUUAAUAGCAUAUCAUUUGACGUUAGCUGCAGAAGAAGCACCGGCUAACUCCGUGCCAGCAGCCGCGGUAAUACGGAGGGUGCGAGCGUUAAUCGGAAUUACUGGGCGUAAAGCGCAUGCAGGUGGUUUGUUAAGUCAGAUGUGAAAGCCCGGGGCUCAACCUCGGAAUUGCAUUUGAAACUGGCAAACUAGAGUACUGUAGAGGGGGUAGAAUUUCAGGUGUAGCGGUGAAAUGCGUAGAGAUCUGAAGGAAUACCGGUGGCGAAGGCGGCCCCCUGGACAGAUACUGACACUCAGAUGCGAAAGCGUGGGGAGCAAACAGGAUUAGAUACCCUGGUAG